rnacentral:lncRNA from 1 species
AGGACAGUAGUAAUCAGACAAGCAUGAAAACCAAAAUCUCAGAUGCUUACAGGUAGGAGUAUAUAACAAGAAGACUUUACAGGUAACGAUGAUCAUGAUGAUAUCUCGCGACACCGAUCACUUUCAUGCCCCGCACGUCGAAACUUCCCGACGCUACCCUAAAAMCAAACUGCAUCCCGAUCAAUCGAUCAAUCAUCAUGAUGAUGCUUCCCUUGGAUUUAACCUAUAUUCCCUAAUGUGUGUUGUAUACCUGUAUGUAUGAUCUAUAUAUCCCCAUAUUUUUCCAACAGCAACAAAAAGGAAAAGAAAACAAAACCUGUACGACCUAUAUAUGCAUGUACAUUUACAUGGGCGGCCACAUGAUGAAUUAGUGGUGGUUAGUUGUCCAGCGCUGGCUGUGUAUCAUGACUGGCCUCUUUUCUGCAGCCUGACGAGGAAAGUGACGCAUCUCACGGCGUUCCGCAGACGGCUAACGGGGAGCCCUUUGAGCGUCGGGUGACACAGAUCCCUUCUGGGCUGCUGCGGCUNNN